rnacentral:rRNA from 1 species
CGUAUAUUAAAGUUGUUGCAGUUAAAAAGCUCGUAGUUGGAUUUGUGGCGUAUGGUGUGUUCCGGGCACUUGUUGUCUGAGUAACCUGCUGUUGCCAUCCUUGGGUGGAACCUGUGUGGCAUUAGGUUGUCGUGCAGGGGAUGCCCAUCAUUCACUGUGAAAAAAUUAGAGUGUUCAAAGCAGGCUUAUGCCGUCGAAUAUAUUAGCAUGGAAUAAUGAGAUAGGACUUUUUUACUAUUUUGUUGGUUUGCGUAAAGAGGUAAUGAUUAAUAGGGACAGUUGGGGG